AGAGUUUGAUCCUGGCUCAAGAUGAACGCUGGCGGCGUGCUUAACGCAUGCAAGUCGAACGGGCUUAAAUCGGAAGCUUGCUUUGAUUAAGUAGUGGCGGACGGGUGAGUAACGCGUGGGUAACCUACCCUGUGCAGGGGGAUAGCAGCUGGAAACGGCUGAUAAAACCGCAUAACACGGCGAGAUCGCAUGAUCAUGCCGUCAAAUAUUUAUAGGCACAGGAUGGGCCCGCGUCUGAUUAGCUAGUUGGCGGGGCAACGGCCCACCAAGGCGACGAUCAGUAGCCGGCCUGAGAGGGUGAACGGCCACAUUGGGACUGAGACACGGCCCAAACUCCUACGGGAGGCAGCAGUGGGGAAUAUUGGACAAUGGGGGAAAAACCCCCUGAUCCAGCGACGCCGCGUGAGUGAAGAAGGCUUUCGGGUUGUAAAGCUCUGUUAUAGGGGACGAAGGAAGUGACGGUACCCUAUAAGGAAGCCCCGGCUAACUACGUGCCAGCCGCAGC
rnacentral:rRNA from 1 species